rnacentral:rRNA from 1 species
GAUCAUGGCUCAGGAUGAACGCUAGCUACAGGCUUAACACAUGCAGGUCGAGGGGCAGCAUCAUCAAAGCUUGCUUUGAUGGAUGGCGACCGGCGCGCGGGUGAGUAACACGUAUCCAACCUGCCGACAACACUGGGAUAGCCUUUCGAAAGAAAGAUUAAUACCGGAUGGUAUAGUUUUCCCGCAUGGGGUGACUAUUAAAGAAUUUCGGUUGUCGAUGGGGAUGCGUUCCAUUAGG